rnacentral:rRNA from 1 species
AACGAUAACGGCGUCGAGCGGCGGACGGGUGAGUAAUGCCUAGGAAAUUGCCCUGAUGUGGGGGAUAACCAUUGGAAACGAUGGCUAAUACCGCAUGAUGCCUACGGGCCAAAGAGGGGGACCUUCGGGCCUCUCGCGUCAGGAUAUGCCUAGGUGGGAUUAGCUAGUUGGUGAGGUAAGGGCUCACCAAGGCGACGAUCCCUAGCUGGUCUGAGAGGAUGAUCAGCCACACUGGAACUGAGACACGGUCCAGACUCCUACGGGAGGCAGCAGUGGGGAAUAUUGCACAAUGGGCGCAAGCCUGAUGCAGCCAUGCCGCGUGUGUGAAGAAGGCCUUCGGGUUGUAAAGCACUUUCAGUCGUGAGGAAGGUAGUGUAGUUAAUAGCUGCAUUAUUUGACGUUAGCGACAGAAGAAGCACCGGCUAACUCCGUGCCAGCAGC